UUGGCCAUUAGAGAUUCCUUGGUUGAGAAUUCUCUGUUUAGCUCUGCACCCCUAUUUUUAAUAGGGUUAUUUGAUUUGCUGGUGUUUAAUUUCUUGUGUUCUUUAUAUCUUUUAGAUAUUAUCCCUCUUUCAAAUGUAGAGUUGGUGAAGAUCUUUUCCUUCUGUCCUAUUGACUGUGUUCCUUUGCCUUACAAAAGCUUUUAAGUUUCAAGAGGUUCCAUUGAUUAGUUGUCAGUCUUAGUCCCUGAGCUGCUGUUGUUCUGUUCAGGAAGUUGUCUCCUGCACCAAUGUGUUCAAGGCUAUUCCCCACUUUCUGUUCUACUACAUUUAGUGUAUAUGGUUUUAUGUUGAGAUCUUUGAUCCUCUUGGACUUGAGUUUUGUGCAGGCUGAUGGCUAUAUCUAUUUGUUCUUCUACAUGUAGGCAUCCAAUUAGAAAAACACCAUUUGUUGAAGAUGCUGUCUUUUUUUCCUUUGUAUGGUUUUGACUUCUUGGUCAAAAAUCAAGUGUCUGUAGGUGACUUUAUUUAUGGAUCUUCAAUUCAAUUCCAUUGAUCAGUCUGUCUGCUUUUAUGCCAAUACCAUGGGUUAUUUUUGUUUUUAAAAUUACUUUUACUCUGUAGUACAGCUUGAAAUUAGGAAUGGUAAUACCUCCAGAAGUUCUUUUAUUGUACAGGAUUGUUUUACUAUCCUGGGUUUUUUUGUUUUUCCAUAUGAAGUUGUGAAUUGCUAUUUUAAAGUCUAUAAAAAAGUGAGUUGGAAUUUGAUGAGAAUUGCAUUGAAUCUGUAGAUUGCUUUUGCUAAGAUGGUCAUUUUUACUAUGUUAAUCCUGCUGAUCCACGAGGGCGGGAGAUUGUUCCAUCUUUUGAUAUCUUCUUCAGUUUCUUUCUUCAGAGACUUGAAGUUCUUGUCAUACACUUGCUUGUUUAGAGUUACACAGUGAUACUCAAUUUUAAACAAUUGACUCCCUCCAAGAUGGCACCUGGCCACAUGCCACUUAGCUAGUGGUAUGCCUGUUCACUUCUGACUUGUUCCUGUGCAGUGGUCAUUGUCUCCCCAAGACUGGCUUUGCCCCUGGGCUGGACCAUGGAGCUCCUUUCUCUGGAGCUGCCUUCCUCUCCUUGUGGCUGAUGCUUCAGCUCCCCUGCCUGGGAACCUCAUGGCUGGAGCUCUAGUCAGGUGUCUUUUUUUUUUUUUUUUUCUUUUUCUCUCCAUCUUCAUUCAUUGUGGGGAUUUCUGAAGCUCCUUCUUUUCUUUGGGAAGAGUCUGGUUUUUUUGCCCUUGUUUUUCUUAUUCUGACACUUUUUCUUCACUGGGUCACACAGAUGUUGCUUCUAUUACCUGUCUUACCCAGUCUUACACUAUUCUUUAUAAUAGUAAUCUUUGUAUUUUUACAAUUGUGAGAAGAUUGAUGCUCACUAAAGUUCACUUGUAAUGUAUUCUGUAAUUUAUGCUAACAACAUAUAUUUAAAUAGACUGUUAAAAAUUAUAUUUUAGUACUGGAGGGAGUCUCAGUGGCUAAGAACACCUAUAGCUCUUCCAGAGGACUCAAGUUCAGAUUCUAGCAUCCACAUCUGGUGGUUCACAACCACUUUCACUUCCAGCUCUGAGGAUCCAGAGCCUUUUUCUGGCCUUCUCAGGCACUUGUAUUCAUGUGUACCUAACCGUACAUAGACACAUGCAUACACAUAAUUUAAAAACAAAAUUUUAUUUUGCACUUUGGGUGUUAGCUAUUACUUCACAUAUAAAAUAAAUGGUGUUCCUCACUUUCUGCACCUACCACAGACCAUUAUGAAAUGUAAGCCCCAGACAAAAAUUAAGGACAACAUAGCUAGCGCUCAUGCUGGUGUAGAGCAUAGCACCCAUGCUGAUGUGGUAUUUUAAAAUGCAUACGUGCACACUCGGAGUAUGAAUCCUGUAGUGUUCAAUACUUAGGAACAUUCCCUAAGAAGGACAAGUUGUUCAUUAACCUUUUAAAACUAUUUCUUAAGCGGGUUCUUUCAGGACUGCCUGACCAGUGUGCUAGAUUAGAUAGCUCCUUUGUUGAGUCAAAGUACACACACUCUUUUGCACUUUGGGGAAGGAAUACUGUGUUUUCGUUCUCCUUUAGUUAUAUAGGUCUCUCUUCAGAAUAUGGAAUGUUUAUUCAGUAUUUACUAGGACUGUAAUAUCUAACAAGUUUAUGGUUAAAAUCUCAUAAGCCUGUCUACAUUCAGGUCAUUAUCUUAGGCCUUUAGUAAAUAUUUAACAAAGAAUUGGGAUUCCUAGGGAU
rnacentral:lncRNA from 1 species